UGCCUGAGAGUGAUGCAGUCUGAGUCUGAAUUAUAAAUCAGUCAAAACUUUCAACAAUGGAUCUCUUGGUUCCGGCAUCGAUGAAGAACGCAGCGAACUGCGAUAAGUAAUGUGAAUUGCAGAAUUCAGUGAAUCAUCGAGUCUUUGAACGCACAUUGCGCCCCCUGGCAUUCCGGGGGGCAUGCCUGUCCGAGCGUCAUUGCUGCCCUUCAAGCCCGGCUUGUGUGUUGGGUCGUCGUCCCCCCCGGGGGACGGGCCCGAAAGGCAGCGGCGGCACCGUGUCCGGUCCUCGAGCGUAUGGGGCUUUGUCACCCGCUCGAUUAGGGCCGGCCGGGCGCUAGCCGGCGUCAUCAAUCUAUUUUACCAGGUUGACCUCGGAUCAGGUAGGGAUACCCGCUGAACUUAAGCAUAUCAAUA
rnacentral:rRNA from 1 species